rnacentral:tRNA from 2 species
GGAGAAUUGGCAGAGUUGGUCGAAUGCACCGGAUUUGAAAUCCGGCGAAGAGUCAAAUCUUCCCAGAGUUCGAAUCUCUGGUUCUCCACCA